ensembl:lncRNA
GUAAGGGGAGAGGGAGAGGCAGUGGGAGAGGCAGUGGGAGAGGGAGAGGCAGUGGGAGAGGGAGAGGCUGUGGGAGAUGCAGUGGGAGAGGCAGUGGGAGUGGGAGAGGCAGUGGGAGAGGGAGAUGCAGUGGGAGAGGCAGUGGGAGUGGGAGAUGCAGUGGGAGAGGCAGUGGGAGUGGGAGAUGCAGUGGGAGAGGCAGUGGGAGUGGGAGAGGCAGUGGGAGAGGCAGUGGGAGAGGGAGAUGCAGUGGGAGAGGCAGUAGGAGUGGGAGAGGCAGUGGGAGUGGGAGAGGCUGUGGGAGAGGCAGUGGGAGAGGGAGAGGCAGUGGGAGUGGGAGAGGCUGUGGGAGAUGCAGUGGGAGAGGCAGUGGGAGUGGGAGAGGCAGUGGGAGAGGGAGAUGCAGUGGGAGAGGCAGUGGGAGUGGGAGAUGCAGUGGGAGAGGCAGUGGGAGAGGGAGAGGCAGUGGGAGAGGCAGUGGGAGAGGGAGAGGCAGUGGGAGAGGCAGUGGGAGUGGGAGAGGCAGUGGGAGUGGGAGAGGCUGUGGGAGAUGCAAUGGGAGAGGCAGUGGGAGUGGGAGAGGCAGUGGG